rnacentral:tRNA from 1 species
AAAUAAGAAGUAAAAAAUUACAUUUAGUUUCGACCUAAAAAAUGACAACAAUUGUCCUUAUUUU